rnacentral:rRNA from 1 species
CUGAGACAGGUGCUGCAUGGCUGUCGUCAGCUCGUGUUGUGAAAUGUUGGGUUAAGUCCCGCAACGAGCGCAACCCUUAUCCUUUGUUGCCAGCGGUCCGGCCGGGAACUCAAAGGAGACUGCCAGUGAUAAACUGGAGGAAGGUGGGGAUGACGUCAAGUCAUCAUGGCCCUUACGAGUAGGGCUACACACGUGCUACAAUGGCGCAUACAAAGAGAAGCGACCUCGCGAGAGCAAGCGGACCUCAUAAAGUGCGUCGUAGUCCGGAUUGGAGUCUGCAACUCGACUCCAUGAAGUCGGAAUCGCUAGUAAUCGUAGAUCAGAAUGCUACGGUGAAUACGUUCCCGGGCCUUGUACACACCGCCCGUCACACCAUGGGAGUGGGUUGCAAAAGAAGUAGGUAGCUUAACCUUCGGGAGGGCGCUUACCACUUUGUGAUUCAUGACUGGGGUGAAGUCGUAACAAGGUAACCGUAGGGGAACCUGCGGUUGGAUCACCUCCUUA